rnacentral:sRNA from 1 species
UCUUCUUUCAAAGGGGAGUAGCGUCCAGGGAAACCUGGAAACAAAGUCGUCAUUUCAUGGGAUUUAUCCCAUCGGCUUUGUUGGCAUGAUCGGUGAUUUACAUGCUCAGCAAGACCUUUGCCUAAGUGGGCAAAGGUCUUUUUUUAUUGGUCCUAUGCCUACU